CAAGGAUCCACUGUACUACGUUCCUCACAUCCAACACACUUCCCAGGAGUUUGGCUGUUCCUGCUGAGAGAAGUUUUUACCCUGGUCUCUCCAAACAAGUGUCACUCAAAUGACAAAUUAAAUCAUGGUAUGCUAAAGGCACCUGAUCCCAUCUAAUCUAUGAAGCUAAGCAGGGCCAGUUCUGGUUAGUACUUGGAUGGGAGACCGCCAAUGAAUACCAGAGAAAGGAACUGGCAAAACCACCUCUGAGUUUUCCUUCCAUAACAAAAUCCUGCAAAAUUCAUGGGGUCACCAUAAACUGACAAGUGACCUGAAGGCACAUACACACAGACAUAUCAAUGACUAUGGAGACUGUCACACAGGGAUAAGAAAUGGGAGAAAAGCACUAUGCUCAUCAUGUUUGUUCAAUCACAGGAAGAUUUUCACACAAUGUUAUGACACCAUUGUGAAAGUCAGAAGACGAUCCUGGACACAAAUGCCCCUUGUACCAGAGAUUGCUCAUGCGUGGUGGGGAUGUCAGUCAUUUGCUUCCUGAUUGACAGGAGAACAGACCCCUGUUGCUCACAGUGACUGCUGCAUGCAAAAGAAUGAAGAAGUUGUAAAAGGAGAUGAACUAUGCAUGGAAAGUAAAGCAAGGUGUUUCGUGGAGGUGGGAGAGGAAGGAAAGAGUGGAAAAUGGAAAGUGUUGUCCUAUUGAACCUUUACCUGUCAUACUCCAAAUUUUCAUGGGCACAGUUCUGUACAGUCAGAAUUUGAAUUAAGCUGCUGAUUUCCUUUACUAAGCAGCCAUUUCAUUCCAGUUCCAUUUCAUUUCUCUAAAGAUGCCAUCCACAGAUGCUGGCGAAACGUCAGGAAUAAACCCUUCUAGAACAUGGCCACAUAGCCCGAAAAACCCACAAAAAUCUAUGGAUGCCAGCCAUGAAAGCCUUCGACUUCUCAUUCCAGUUGCGUCAUACAUCUCAGGAAGAAAAUGUUCUGUUCUCUUGCACUCCAGGAACAUGGACCAUACAGUUUCUUCUCAUUAAGUCUCCUUAGAUUGUGAUGUUGGAGUUCUUUCGUUAAGGCUUUCAAUCUAAAAUUAUCACAUUCAUUUAUAGUCUCUUCUGUGACAGUGUGUCACAAAAGGCACAUCAUUUUUUUAACAUUGCAUGACAAAGUCCCAUUAUUUACCUAUAAUCCAUUAACUAUUUUAUAAGAUGAUGUUGCAAAAGAUGCUACAGUCAAAUGGAUUUUUUUUGAUGAAUCAGAAAAAGAUGAGUACAGAGGGGAAGUGGGUGACAGGCUAACAGAUAUACGAGCCUUUUGUGGUUUAUUUAAGCAGACUUUUAAAGAUUCCUGUUUACAGAUACAAUAAAAGUGGAACAAAAGACCUUGUACCAUCACUCAAUAAAAUAUCAAUAUGU